rnacentral:rRNA from 1 species
GUAGUGACCUGCGGAGGACAUUCC